GAUGAACGCUGGCGGCGUGCCUAAUACAUGCAAGUCGAGCGAAUGGAUUAAGAGCUUGCUCUUAUGAAGUUAGCGGCGGACGGGUGAGUAACACGUGGGUAACCUGCCCAUAAGACUGGGAUAACUCCGGGAAACCGGGGCUAAUACCGGAUAACAUUUUGAACCGCAUGGUUCGAAAUUGAACGGCGGCUUCGGCUGUCACUUAUGGAUGGACCCGCGUCGCAUUAGCUAGUUGGUGAGGUAACGGCUCACCAAGGCAACGAUGCGUAGCCGACCUGAGAGGGUGAUCGGCCACACUGGGACUGAGACACGGCCCAGACUCCUACGGGAGGCAGCAGUAGGGAAUCUUCCGCAAUGGACGAAAGUCUGACGGAGCAACGCCGCGUGAGUGAUGAAGGCUUUCGGGUCGUAAAACUCUGUUGUUAGGGAAGAACAAGUGCUAGUUGAAUAAGCUGGCACCUUGACGGUACCUGACCAGAAAGCCACGGCUAACUACGUGCCAGCAGCCGCCGCAG
rnacentral:rRNA from 1 species